rnacentral:rRNA from 1 species
AUGGCGGCUAAUACCGCGUACGGUCCCGAGGCGGAGGGCUUUGGGAAGAAAGCAGUGAUGCGCGCUGGGAGGGGUCUGCGCCCGAUUAGCUCGUUGGCGGGGUAACGGCCCACCAAGGCGGUGAUCGGUAGCUGGUCUGAGAGGAUGAUCAGCCACACGGGGACUGAGACACGGCCCCGACUCCUACGGGAGGCAGCAGCAAGGAAUUUUCCGCAAUGGGGGCAACCCUGACGGAGCAACGCCGCGUGACGGAUGACGCCUCUUGGGGUGUAAACGUCUUUUGCCGAGGGAGAGAAUGGACGGUACUCGGCGAAUCAGGACCGGCUAACUACGUGCCAGCAGCCGCGGUAAUACGUAGGGUCCGAGCGUUGUCCGGAGUUACUGGGCGUAAAGCGCGCGCAGGCGGUCCGCGAGGUGUCACGUGAAAGCCCCGGGCUCAACUCGGGAGGGUCGUGGCAAACCGGUG